rnacentral:rRNA from 1 species
UGAACGCUGGAGGCGUGCUUAAACAUGCAAGUCGAACGAACCUCAGGGUUAGUGACGGACGGGUGAGUGACGCGUGAGAAUCUGCCCUCAGGAGGGGGACAACAGCUGGAGAACGGCUGCUAAUACCCCAUAUGCCGCGAGGUGAAAUGAAUUUGGCCUGAGGAUGAGAUCGCGUCUGAUUAGCUAGUUGGUGUAGGUAAUGGCUCACCAAGGCAUAGAUCAGUAUCUGGUCUGAGAGGAUGAUCAGCCACACUGGGACUGAGACACGGCCCACACUCCUACGGGAGGCACCAGUGGGGAAUUUUCCGCAAUGGGCGAAAGCCUGACGGAGCAACGCCGCGUGAGGGAUGAAGGCCUCUGGGCUGUAAACCUCUUUUAGCAAGGAAGAAGAUCUGACGGUACUUGUGAAUAAGCC